UCCCCAGGGGCUCAACGGUAAAGAAUCUGCCUGUAACGUAGGAAACUCAGGUUAGAUCCCUGGUUUGGGAA
rnacentral:tRNA from 1 species